rnacentral:lncRNA from 1 species
GUACAUAGUUGCAAUUUUUUCUUUUUCUUUUUUGUUUGUUUUGUUUAAACAGAAGGGUAUUUUAGUCAUUUUACGAUAAAAAUUGGUAAAAAAAAGACGUCUAACGCAAAGAAAUGUGAAAAUAGAGAUAAAAAUAUCAAAAAAUAGAAAGUAUGAACGUUUUACACAAUAAUUUCGAAAGAUAAUGACGUUUUUUGCCAAUUACCUUUUUUAAAAUAUUCUUCCAAGCUCUAAAUUAUAAACAAUAUGUCUCCAUUGGUCUAAAAUAUCAGCGUUGACUCGCUAUUCGAAAUGUUAGAACUGAACUCUCACCCAACCUCGUUCCUCCCUAUAUAUUUAGGUCUCUAUUACAAUUAGGCUUCCAUUGCAAAAAUCCCGACGGAUGAAGGAGGCAAAACAGAGAGAUGGAAAUUUCUAAGGGUGGUUAUCCCUCUCUAUUUGCCUGUGAUUUCACUAUCCACAAAAUCUAACUGCCCUUUUAUACUCGGGUUUCUGAGCGUAUAUAUUCGGGGAAAAUUUCACCAAUGGUCACUGAAGUUUUAGCAAAACAUAAGCCUGCUUGGGAGUUUAUGAGUACCGGUUAUGGGGUUUUAAGCAGCUCUUUGUUUGAUAAAGCUUUUUGAGAUUGCUGCUGCUGCUCAUACUAUGUGUAGGCUGUGAGGAUUCUUUUCGUUGAGUUGGGUCGGGCAAGGAAAAUUCGGAGCCGUAUCUUGGCGGGGCAAGCCUUGAUGGCGUUGUGAGGAGGGAAAUUGACUGUUCUCUCUCUCUCUCUCUCUCUCUCUCUCAUAUGCAACAAGGCUUUUGCAGCCAUGGCGGUGUUGGAAUCUCCUUGCCUGUUGUUUUUGCAGAUCUGAGCCUCACGCAGGUUUAUUUAUUUCAAAACUUGCUUUUUUACUUAGCAGUGAAGUUUAUUCUUAGAUGGACAUGCUAUAGCUCAUUCUUGCAAAAUCAUAACUGAAGAAUGAGGCGAAUGAAGAGAUGUGAUUUUUGCAAAUGGUGGUUACCCAUCUCUAUUUGCCAAUGAUUUCACCAUCUACAAUAACCAACAACCCUUUUAUGCCACCAGGACCAGUAUCUUGGAUCCAUUUUAAUCCACGACUACUUAUUAUCUUGUUAUAAUUUCAGUAACUUGUAAUUAAACCCAAGCAAGCUUUACCUAUGUGGGAUUUUACCCUUAACAAAUCCUGUUCGUAGAAUGUCUAAACUUUUGGUGAGGUUUCAUCCAUGGAAAUUUCAAGUAUUAAAAGGUAUAGUUUUGUUGUUGCUGAGGUUGCUGUUGCUAUCUGUAGGCUGUGAUGAUUAUUUUGUUCGAGUCAGGUCAGGCAUAAGGAAAUCUGAUCCGUAUCUUGGCAGAAACCCGGAUGGCGUGUGGAGAACGGAUAUGAACUUUGUACUUUCCCUCUUUCCGAUAUGCAAAUUGGGUUUUGUAGCCAUGGCGGUGUCUUUCUCCCUGUGCCUGUAGUAUUUCCAGAUCUGAGUCUCACUUAUUUUUAUUUUAAAGCUUACUCAUUACUUAUAAACAUUUUAACUUAGCCAAGCAUCGUUGGAAAAAUCCCCACUCAAGAAUGAGCUCCUUAUAUGCAAAUGAUUUCACCUUCCACAAAAACCACCAGCCUUUUUAUGCCACCAGUCUCUUGGAUCCUGACCAGUGUGUGUAUAUGCUGUGUAAAGCAUUGUUGGAUUACCUUUGGCAGGAAGGAUUAGAUUGGAUAGUGUUGAAAAAGGGGGGGAAAAAGCAUCAUUUCUCUUCUUUAUACUCUUGUUUCACACUCCAUAUCAACUAUAAACAAACAUGCACUCAGGCACUGAACUUUUUUGAGGUUGCUGAUGCUACUAUAGGAUUGGAUUGCUUUGCUAGAAGGGAGAUUGAAGGUGUUUUGUCUCUCGUAUAUGCAACUUGUCCUGAGCCUACCCCUGCUUAUUUACUUAUAAGCAAUCUUUUUAAGUUCAACUUGUCAUGGUUCCCAAUUAGGUGUAUGGGCACCUGAAUCCCACAUCGAAAGUGUAAGCUUCCCUUGUGUGGUUUAUAUUGGCUUGGAUUCUUCAACCUCAUUGGUUAACUUUUGGGUCUGGCUCUCCCAAUUGAGCGUGACAUUUACUUAUAAGCAAUCUUUUUAAGUUUAGCCAAACAUAGUAGUCUUCAUUGCAAAAACCCCAACUCAAGAAUUAAUGAGACUAACUGAGAGAUGGGGAUGUUUUCUAAGGCCGGCUACCCCUUUCCACAUGCCAAUGAUAUGACCAUCUACAAAAGUGAUCAGUCCUUUUAUUCCACUUGAUCUUGUUGUUGAAACUGGCUCAACUUAAACUUUUCAUGAAAGCUGUUAAGAGAGAGAGAAACACAUGUAUUAAAUUAAAUUUAGGCUUCAACAUUUCUUCAUCUUUGGAGUGGAUUUGAUUUUUUAUGAUAACAUGAUGAGAUUGAAUUCAAGAUCUCUAAACCAACUCAUCCAAAAGUUUAUGGCAAAUUGAAAUUAGAUCGAUGCCACAUGUACAUGGAAAAUGUACAGACGGAUUUACAUAAUGUCGCAUGACAACAUUUUAUUGGAUUUUGAACAAAAAACGUAGUUAAAAUAGCCCAUCAUGUGUUGCUAUUUCAGCACCUGUAAAAUUGCCUAAGCAUUUCUUCUAUACAAGUAUCGUUUCUGUGAAAUUAUCCGAUACGUGAAUGUUCUUGUAAGCAGCAGCAGUAGAUCACUUCUAUGUAUUCACAUUUCAUCUAUGGGAUUUUCAUUAGCCUCUGUUCCUUUUCCAUCGUAUGAUUUUGUAUGUUUUUGCUGCUGUGUAGGCUCUGUUGAUUUUGCAAAUCUUAGCCUGUUAUUUUAUGUUUCUUCUUGCAUAGCUGUGAUUGUGAUUGUUCACACUGUUGUUGCAUUGUGUUCAGAUGGGCGAAUGCUAUGUUGUGCAGGUAAGUCGUGUUGCAUUAUGUGAUGUUUGUCUGUAGUUCCGGCGUGUGUAAUUUUCAUUGCGUCUUUUAAAUCUUCAAAUUGGUUUGAUUUUGAAGUGGUAUAUUUAUAGAUGGUAUCAAUCACUUCUCUCGAGGUCAAUUUUAAUUUUGUCUACAACAUUACUUAGCCCCCGUUUGUUUUCCAUUAUUUUCUCAUUAAAAUGAAAAAUAUGAUCGUUAUCCAUCACAUCAAGUUAUUAUAUUUGAUUUUAUAUCUCUUGUGUGGGACUCAUAACAGUUAUAUUUUUUAUUUUCAUUUAUACAUUAAUGUGUAAUGAACAGAGCCUUAGAAACUCAAUUAAUUUUGUCUACAACAUUUUAGUCAUUUUAUCGAAGAUUAUUGAGUGCUAUCAUGUGGUUUUUAUCAGGUUGAGAAGCAGAUUUCACCUUAUAACAAUCACUGAUUCUACCAUGGAAAUCAAUGGACAUUGAUCUUGUCUUGAAUGUGGCUAAAAUACGGUGGGUCAAUGACAGGAUAAGGUUUCAACGAGUUAUAAUGUAAAUGAUUUGGAUGGACAGUCCAAGUGAGGAAGAAAAUUGGAAAGGUGGGAUAGGAAUGAAAGAAAGGGCUAAACGCAGUCUUUUGUGUUUGUGUGAAGAGAAAAACCAUAUGUAUUGAAUGGGGGGUUAUCGAAGCUUGCUCCCCCCCCCCCCCCCCCCUCACAAACACGCGGGACCUGUGUGUAUUUAAUAAUGUCGAGCCGUGGUCCCACAUCAUCAACUUUGAUGAUGUGAGUGGGGUGUAAACGAUUGUGUAAAUGAUUAUGUACAUAUAGCACGGUCUUUGUGUGAAUAUAUGACUAUUUUGGUAACAAAUAUGGUGACCAUCCACUUCCUUAAUUUGCUAAAAGGGUCCAAAACUUUGAAUUGGUGACAGAAAAUUGUCACUAGAACCUAUAAUUUAAUUUUCGUUCAAUGAAGUACAAUGGCUUUCAUCGAUUAGGAACACGUGCACUAGUAAGACUAGAUAAAGAAAUGGGAGUUUAUGACUUGAAUGAAUCGAUAACAAUGGAUUAGUGGAAUGAGGGAUUAAGAGAUGGAUAGGGGGAUGACUAUUUAUCAUUGUGUGAGGAUUAAAUGUAUUUUUAACAUGUUUUUAAUUUAUUUAUCGUAUUUUAAUUUUUCUUAGUUUUAUCAACAUUUUCUCAAUUGUGCAUCUCAUCCUUGAAGAAGAUUUUUAUCGAAAAUAUAUUUGUGUAUUCAUGAAUGAAGGAAUGAUAUUUUGUAACAAGUAUUUUAUGCC